UUGGGCGAUGUAACGGUACAUUUUGGACACCGAGUUGAUAAGGACGGCCGAUUUUUGCUCCCACGUGGAUUGCAAUGCGUGGCGCCACUCGCGAGAUACGAGGCGACAUUGGUGAAUCUCGGGAGUGUCGAGUGAAUUGGUCAGUAUCCCUCGGCUGAUUAUUGAAAUUCUGGAAAAAUUCGUGCACUUGGUGCAAAUGGAGGUCGUACGGGGUCUUCUCCAUCCUUUGUGCCAAAAAGGGGCCAGCGAAAUCCAGAGAGCGACAGUUGACAGUGAAUUAACCACGUCUCAAAUCGCACGUCACAAAGUUAAUGAAACCGAAACGCCCCAUUUAUUUAUGUCACAGCGAGUUACGCAGCAAAGUCCGAGGAAGCUGAAGAAUAAACAAAACAAUAAUUAGAAUCACCACCACCACCAUCGCCACUGGAACCAGCUUCGAAUUUCAUGGAAUUUUAAACAAUAAGAAUCCUCGAGAAGCACGUAGCCAAUACUUUCACGUCAUAAAUAAUAAUGUUCGACCUCUCUUGGUCAGAAGCCUAGUUUUCAUGUUCAUUCUUCCUUCUUGAUGAGAUGUGAGACGUUUUUUCUGGUUGAGAAAGAAUGCAGUAAUUAAAAUUUACUGCGUAUGUAACAUGGCUCAUAUUUCCUGUCGUAAAAUUUCAUAGAUUUAUUUUCAAAUUCAAAAGAUGGUGGCAUAUAUAAUAUUCUGAAUUUGGAGCUAGAAACUUGGUGCGCCACAAUUCGUGAUUUUUUCCAUUUUGCAUGAAUUUUUAUAAAUAACUCAAGGUACGAAAAACAAAAGUGCUCAUCGUAAUAUUGUUAAAGAGGCUGCUGUAAAUGAGGCUAUCCGGUUCUGGACUUGUACUUUUAUUACCAUCAAAAUAAAACAAUUUAUUGGACAUGAACGAACAAGCGCAAUGAAGUGAAGCGGCCCGGAGUUAAAUAUUGCGAUUAUAUACUUUGUCCGUCUGUCUGUCCGUCCGUCAGCACGAUACGUAAUUCUCGAAUGAGUCAACAUUUUUCACUUCUGUCUUAUGAUAUGGACACCUAAUUUUAAAAGUGAGAUGGAAAUCUUUAACUGGUCAAAAUUUCAUGGUACGGUGAUGAGAUCAAAGGCUAAUGUUAUUAGUUUUUAUGGAUUUAGACAUCAAAUCAACAUUAUUUCGGCGUACUUAUACCCACGUCGAUCCACAGCACAGCGUCGACCGGAUGCCCAUGUAAACAAAGUAAUGUCAAACGUCAAAAUUAGAAACGUCAGAAAGUGUCAGAUAGCAAAUGAUGCGUAUCGAGUGCAGUAUUUUCAGGACUCCGUGCGUUUCCGCGAGUUUGUUAUGUCUGUCGCUGCAGCUGCAGUGCAGUUGCACUGAGGAUGAACAAAAAUAAAUCCAUAAAAAGACAAUUUCAUUUGCAUAUCUUGCUUUUUUGAGUACCUCAACUUCUCAUUAGUUAAGUCAGGUUAUGUAUGUGUACUAUGAAACGUUAUUUUUUCAUGAUUAAAAAUUAUUACGCAAAAUAGUGUCUUUAAUGUUAUCAAUGUGUUCCAGUAUUGUGAAAGUUCAUGAUCAAACGAGUUUUAAAAUAUGACCAGACAGAAUAUGUAAAAUAGUAUGGUUAUACGAUGUUGUACCUCAGUCGGUCGGUAUUGCAUACCGACCGAAUCUGUACCAAAAAAAGUAAGGCUCUCUCUCCAAAGCAAUAAACAAACCUGUUGGUCUGGGACUUG